UUUGUAAUUUUUUUCCAGAACAACACCGCUCAAGGACAAGCAGUGAGGGCAUCAGGGCAGCCUACCCCAGAACAGCGGUUCUUUUGUCUGAUGAUGGAUUUGAAUUGAGCUUGGGCAUUAUUGCAAGUAUUGUCUAGUGAUUGUUGAUAUGUUCUCUAAAUAUGUGGAAUGUUUCCCUUGCAGGAAAGCGACUGCACUAUCAGUAGCCAAGACCCUCAUGUGAGACAUAAUACCGAGGUUUGGUAUUCGUAAAUUAAAUUAUUGAGAAUCUCAGAAGCUUAAAUUUAAAAAUAACAUUUAAAAUUCACUGUGCCUUCCACCCAUCGAGUGGGAGUACAGUGGGGAGAAAUUAAUCAAACGAUCAAGAGCAGUCUGAAUAAGGUUAUGGCAGAAACUAAACUUGAUUGAGUAACCACACUACCUUUUAUUCAUGAAUACGAGGGGAAGAAAAUACCAAGCCACACCAUACAACCAGAUGAUUGGAUGGUGAUAAAAGACUUUUCUGGUCUCCAACACUCCGGUAAGAGUCGCCGAUUGGAACACGUUCAUUGCCGGGAAAUCAGCGCCCCAGUGGAAGCAUGAGGCUGCUCAUUAUACUCAUGGGAACCGUUGCACCUCUGAGUCUUCUCAUCAUGGUUCAACGGUAGGAGCAAAAUAAUGACUGCUCCAGGCGACAACAGAAUUUUAGUUAUUUGUCACUCAGCUUUGAAUAUACAGAGGUUUCAAAUGAAUCAGCUGGCUGGGUCUGCUUACACAUUCCACAUUCCUUACAUAGCAGUCAUCUGAUUGAUGAACAUUUCAACAUGGACGAAUAUUUUUUUGAUGUUCAUUUAGUAGUGUUCCCCAUGUUUGGCAAUGCAUCAGCUGGACAGAGUUCAGACCACAGAUUUGGGAAAAUGCUUCAGCUGAUGCCAGUAGAUGGCAGUGGCUACCAGUCAGUGUGAGAUUCACAGGCACAGGACGUCUUGCUUGGUAGCAAGCUUUGCUGGAAUACCAGAAACAAGCUAAGCGAGCUGAGAGCGACCUGCCACCGCUCAGCAUCCUGCUGCCCCCUCCAUGGGUCCUGCUUCCACUGCUCAGUGUCCUGCUGCCACCUCCAUGGGUCCCACUGCUAUUGCCACUGUGUCAAGUACCUGCUACCACUAUGGGCCCUGUCAUUGCUACGAGUGGAGCUGAUGUUGAGCUGAUUCACUGAGGACGCUUCGGAAGCCCUAGUAACUGUAGAUGGAAAUUUGAUCCUAUAACAUUAGAAUGCACACAACACACAACCAUGCGUUGAACAAACAUGAACGGCAUUAGAUCAAGACAAUGUACCAGGCAUUAACUUUGUCAACAAAUUGGCAGAAUGUCUUGUUAGGCUGCGGAACCAGACCAGCCUCACCCUGACGACCCAACAAGCCAGCACCAUCAUUGCUUUAUGGCAGGACUUGCUCCCAUUUGACAAAGGCUGUGUAGUGUAUGCUGCUCGGCACCAGGACAGGCUGGUGACCGGUCACUUCCGGGUGCCAAAGAAGAGGGCCAUGUUUGCCUCUGGUGUGGAGAGCACAAAGUGAUAUGUUCUUGGAGCCAGUGGUUCACCUGCCCAGUGGCCCAACUGCUUCCACCUGAUGGAGUCCAUCUUUGUGAGGUUGUGUGGCAUCCAUUGUAGUCCCAAAAAACGGGAACACCCUCAAGAUGGACUCUGAUCAUCCAGGACUAUAAGAAGAUCAGGCAGCUUGUACUGGACAAUGGAGCAGUGGCGCAGGAAACAACUCUGCAGCUGGUUGAGGUGAACCAAAGUACACUGAUCCAGUGGCACAAUAGCAGGGUCAGGAACAGUCUGUGCUGCUCCAGGGCAUUCAACUUCCUGGACCCUGUCCACUGGCAGCUGACCCUUUAUUGGCUGCAAAAACCCGCCCUGCUAAAGCUCCUCAAGUAAGUCAGCACACCUACCAUCUGCUACAAAACACAGCAGGGCCAGUCAAAACUAAGCGAAGGUCAACAUGUGUACCAUCUGCAGUCAGGCCCAAGGCACGGUGGCAACUUUUUCCAGUUGCCACCGGACACCUCCUGCAAGCAUUCCACCCCACCCAUAUGCCAGGGCUGGCAGUGCUUCCUCUCACCAUCACCCUGCCCCAGCUUCCACUCCACAGAUGCCCACAUGCACAAAACAUGCAUAUAAUAGGACUGUUCCUGCUAACACCUGCAAAAGAUGUGGACUGUACAGGACACAGGAAACUGGCCACAGCCAGUACAAAGGGACAAUUUACUGCCCUCAGAACGAGACCCAAACAAAAGAGCAGUGGCUCCAACUUAUGAGGGACAAUUAAACUUCCUUUAUUUUUGUAUAAAAGUUAUUAAACAAAAUUUGUUAAUGUUUAUUUGCUCAAAAGUUAUACUUCAAAUAGUA